GGGUCAGUAGGUUGGUCGUGCCACCGGUACGUACUGGUCUCACUGAUUCCUCCUUCCUGAAGAACCGUAAUGCCAUUAAUUUGGUGUUGCGGGGAAACUGGACUGUUACUUUGAAAAAAUUAGAGUGUUUAAAGCAAGCUAACGCUUGAAUACAUUAGCAUGGAAUAAUGAAAUAGGACGAUCGAUCCUAUUUUGUUGGUUUCUAGGAUUGACGUA
rnacentral:rRNA from 1 species